rnacentral:rRNA from 1 species
GAUUAACGCGAAGAACCUUACCUGGGCUCGAAGCGCAGUGGACCGGGGUAGAAAUAUCCCUUCCCCUUAAAAGGCUGCUGCGGAGGUGCUGCAUGGCUGUCGUCAGCUCGUGUCGUGAGAUGUUGGGUUAAGUCCCGCAACGAGCGCAACCCUUAUCCCUAGUUGCCAUCGGGUCAAGCCGGGCACUCUAGUGAAACUGCCUCGGAUAACGAGGAGGAAGGUGGGGAUGACGUCAAGUCCUCAUGGCCUUUAUGUCCAGGGCUACACACGUGCUACAAUGGUCGGUACAAACCGUCGCAAACCCGCGAGGGGGAGCUAAUCGGAAAAAGCCGGCCUCAGUUCGGAUUGGAGUCUGCAACUCGACUCCAUGAAGCUGGAAUCGCUAGUAAUCGCGGAUCAGAACGCCGCGGUGAAUACGUUCCCGGGCCUUGUACACACCGAAUC